UGGAUAGCACAUGUGGUUGGUGGGUAUCAAUUACUGAAAUGACCUCUCACUAUAUUUCUCUACAGAGCAUCCAGGGUGAUCUUUGAAAAAUGGAAAUCAGUUCACAUUGCCCCUGCUUAGAACAUCUAUUGGCUUCCCAUGACAUUUAGUAAAUCCCAAUGACUCAAGUGGGGCAUCCAUUUUGAGGCAGAUGAAGAGCUCCUGUGUUUACCAAUCCUUCUUCCUGAAAUCACAUUAUAAUGAUAGUAAAGAAGUAAAAGAGGAAUCAAUCCAUGAGUGAAAUGAGAGGUGGAAGAGCAGGUCUAUAUUAGCAAAUCAAAUUUUGGUGAAUCUAAGACGGAAGGUAAAUGUGAUUGCACUGAUUGGUAAAGCAGAGAAGAAAGAGCCACAGCUCUGAACACACAAGAAGCUUCAGGGGACAAGAGGGACGCCUUCCAUUUAAAUGAUCCCAGCUACUUAAAUAAUCGGCUACAAAGACCUGGAGUGGAAAGUUACCAGAUCAAGGACAGCGUCGUUGGGCUCGUGGUGCUGUUUGCGACCUUCUUAGUACCGUGUGGUUAUGUGCUGAGCAAUCUUCGUGAGUUCAGAAGAGAGUAAAUGCAAGAAGAUGGGGAGCAGUCAUCAACAUCCCACGAGAUUUAAAUGAGUAACCGUGCUUAGUUGGGGUGAUGACGCAACCAUUGUGGGUAUUCAGUUUCAUAAUCGUUUGUGUAUGGUACCUCUUUUGCACUUUUCCAGUUCUGUGCAUUACAUGAAGAUGAGUUUGUGUAGUCAUUUAAAAAUGUUAAAUAAAGUUGAAACAUUCAUGCA
rnacentral:lncRNA from 1 species